rnacentral:rRNA from 1 species
CCCUUAGAUGUCCGGGGCCGCACGCGCGCUACACUGAAGGAAUCAGCGUGGCUUUCUCCCUGACCCGAAAGGGUUGGGAAACCCGUUGAAUCUCCUUCGUGAUAGGGAUUGGGGCUUGAAAUUGUUCCCCAUGAACGAGGAAUUCCCAGUAAGCGCGAGUCAUAAGCUCGCGUUGAAUACGUCCCUGCCCUUUGUACACACCGCCCGUCGCUCCUACCGAUUGAGUGGUCCGGUGAGGCUUUGGGAUCUGAGCGGAAAGAGCGUUUCGCUGUUUCUGCUCGGAAAACUCAGUCGAACCUUAUCAUUUAGAGGAAGGAGAAGUCGUAACA